rnacentral:rRNA from 1 species
AGUAGUUUGACUCCUGGCUCGAGGACACGCUGGCGGCGUGCCUAACACAUGCAAGUCGAGCGGGGACAUACAGUGAAGAGGAAGUUUUCGGAUGGAAUUGGAACGGUAUGUUCUAGCGGCGGACGGGUGAGUAACGCGUGAGCAACCUGUCCUUCACAGGGGGAUAACACAGCGAAAGUUGUACUAAUACCGCAUAAGACCACGGAGCUGCAUGGCUUUGGGGUCAAAGGAGCAAUCCGGUGAAGGGUGGGCUCGCGUCCGAUUAGAUAGUUGGUGAGGUAACGGCCCACCAAGUCGACGAUCGGUAGCCGACCUGAGAGGGUGAUCGGCCACAUUGGGACUGAGACACGGCCCAAACUCC